UAACAGGUUCUUCUUAGAACUACAGUACAUUUAGAGGUAAUAAGCA
rfam:Papio anubis isolate 1X1155 chromosome 12, whole genome shotgun sequence.